AUUACACUUAUUUAUGUUCUCUUGCGGCUUUAUAUCUUCAAACCCCCACCCAAAACCCACCUUCUCACUAGUUUAUUAUUUCAUUACAUAAUGAUUUCAUUCCUACAAUACAAUCACUGAAUGAUUGACAGAUGUAAGCUUGGCACUAUGCUAGUUCCGGACCAUUGUCAUGUCCUCUUUUAAGUUCUAAUCUCAAGGGGAUAAACAAUAUUAUAGCUUGCAGGCGUUGAGGGAUCCAAUGAGCUAUAAAAACAGUGAAUAUAAUUAUUGCAAAUCAAGUCCACAAGGCUAAAGAGGAUGUGAAUCUUGGAAUCCUUUAAGACGAGGGAAAUCGAAUGCUUCUACUCUCAUAUCACCAUUUUAAGACCAAAGUGUAUCAGAGAGGGAAUUCCUUCUGGAGAACAUCAAGAUUACGCGAGUCACAUGCUUCUAACAUAUCAUUUCGAGAUGCACAACUCAGAGAUAUUCUCAAAUAUUGCCAGGCAUUA
rnacentral:misc_RNA from 1 species